rnacentral:rRNA from 1 species
GUUGGCUUUCUGAUACCAGAGGUAAUGAUUAAUAGGGACAACUGGGGGCAUUCGUAUUGCGACGUUAGAGGUGAAAUUCUUGGAUCGUCGCAGGACGGACUAAAGCGAAAGCAUUUGCCAAAGGUGUUUUCAUUAAUCAAGAACGAAAGUUAGAGGUUCGAAGGCGAUUAGAUACCGCUGUAGUUCUAACCAUAAAUGAUGCCAGCCAGCGAUCCGCCGAAGUUUCAAAAUUUU